rnacentral:rRNA from 1 species
CCUACGGGCGGCAGCAGUGGGGAAUAUUGCACAAUGGGGGAAACCCUGAUGCAGCGACGCCGCGUGAGUGAAGAAGUAUUUUGGUAUGUAAAGCUCUAUCAGCAGGGAAGAAAAUGACGGUACUUGACUCACAAGCCCCGGCUAACUCUGUGCCAGCAGCCGCGGUAACACGUAGGGGGCAAGCGUUAUCCGGAUUUACUGGGUGUAAAGGGAGCGUAGGCGGCAGCGCAAGUCUGGAGUGAAAUCCCAUGGCUUAACCAUGGAACGGCUUUGGAAACUGUGCAGCUGGAGUGCAGGAGAGGUAAGCGGAAUUCCUGGUGUAGCAGUGAAAUGCGUAGAUAUUAGGAGGAACACCAGUGGCGAAGGCGGCUUACUGGACUGUAACUGACGUUGAGGCUCGAAGGCGUGGGGAGCAAACGGGAUUAGAUACCCGGAUAGUC